GGGUGUGAUCGUACCAGCACUAAUGUAUCGGAUCCCAUCAUAAUUCUGUAGUUAAGCAUUUGGGCGAAAGUAGUACUAGGAUGGAUGAUUUUCCGGGAAAACUUCGUGUUGCGUUCU
rnacentral:rRNA from 1 species